UACGUAGGGUGCAAGCGUUAAUCGGAAUUACUGGGCGUAAAGCGUGCGCAGGCGGUUCGUUAAGACAGAUGUGAAAUCCCCGGGCUUAACCUGGGGAACUGCAUUUGUGACUGGCGGACUCGAGUAUGGGCAGAGGGGGGGUAGAAUUCCACGUGUAGCAGUGAAAUGCGUAGAGAUGUGGAGGAAUACCCGAUGGCGAAGGCAGCCCCCUGGGGCCCAAUACUGACG
rnacentral:rRNA from 1 species